UACGUAGGUGGCAAGCGUUGUCCGGAUUUAUUGGGGCGUAAAGAGCGUGUAGGCGGCCAGGUAGGUCCGUUGUGAAAACUGGAGGCUUAACCUCCAGCUGUCGAUGGAAACCAUCUGGCUAGAGUCCGGAAGAGGAGAGUGGAAUUCCCGGUGUAGAGGUGAAAUUCGUAGAUAUCGGGAGGAACACCAGUGGCGAAGGCGGCGACCUGGGCCAAUAUUGACGCUGAGGUGCGAAAGCGUGGGGAGCAAACAGG
rnacentral:rRNA from 1 species